rnacentral:rRNA from 1 species
AGCUUGCUUCUCUUGAGAGCGGCGGACGGGUGAGUAAUGCCUAGGAAUCUGCCUGGUAGUGGGGGAUAACGUUCGGAAACGGACGCUAAUACCGCAUACGUCCUACGGGAGAAAGCAGGGGACCUUCGGGCCUUGCGCUAUCAGAUGAGCCUAGGUCGGAUUAGCUAGUUGGUGGGGUAAUGGCUCACCAAGGCUACGAUCCGUAACUGGUCUGAGAGGAUGAUCAGUCACACUGGAACUGAGACACGGUCCAGACUCCUACGGGAGGCAGCAGUGGGGAAUAUUGGACAAUGGGCGAAAGCCUGAUCCAGCCAUGCCGCGUGUGUGAAGAAGGUCUUCGGAUUGUAAAGCACUUUAAGUUGGGAGGAAGGGUUGUAGAUUAAUACUCUGCAAUUUUGACGUUACCGACAGAAUAAGCACCGGCUAACUCUGUGCCAGCAGCCGCGGUAAUACAGAGGGUGCAAGCGUUAAUCGGAAUUACUGGGCGUAAAGCGCGCGUAGGUGGUUUGUUAAGUUGGAUGUGAAAUCCCCGGGCUCAACCUGGGAACUGCAUUCAAAACUGACUGACUAGAGUAUGGUAGAGGGUGGUGGAAUUUCCUGUGUAGCGGUGAAAUGCGUAGAUAUAGGAA